UACGGGAGGCAGCAGUAGGGAAUCUUUCACAAUGGGCGAAAGCCUGAUGGAGCAACGCCGCGNUGCAGGAUGACGGCCUUCGGGUUGUAAACUGCUUUUAUAACCGANAAAUAUGAUGGNAANUUAUGAAUAAGGACCGGCUAACUACGUGCCACCAGCCGCGGUAAU
rnacentral:rRNA from 1 species